rnacentral:rRNA from 1 species
UACAGGGGGGGCAAGCGUUGUUCGGAUUCAUUGGGCGUAAAGGGCGCGUAGGCGGCGGGGUAAGUCGGGUGUGAAAUCUCAGGGCUCAACCCUGAAACUGCACUGGAUACUGCUCUGCUGGAGGACUGGAGAGGAGACUGGAAUUCACGGUGUAGCAGUGAAAUGCGUAGAUAUCGUGAGGAAGACCAGUGGCGAAGGCGGGUCGUCUGGACAGUUCCUGAC